rnacentral:misc_RNA from 1 species
UCGAGGGGGCUUGCCCCCGUCAAGAUACCACCCUUUGCCUUUGAGUACCGUCUGUUUCCUCGGUAGGCUCGCCUGCCAAUGGGGACCACAACCAAACCUUUGUAUCUGCAGUAAACGUUUUUUAAAUAAAGAAAAUUA